UUAUUUAGUAAUUACAUUAAGAUAACUGUGUGGUCAGUAAACUUGUCAAACGUCAAUCCUUUAUGUACUCAGUCUUUUUCCCCAUAAAUUUCAGUAAAGUAGUGUAUAGAUCUCUUAUCUUGUAUUUCGGCUCAUUUAUAAUGCAAGAAGGCAUUGGCAUUAUACAUUAAGCAGCCAGCGUUCCAGUUUUAGUACUAAUUAUUAAUUGCCUUAUCAUUAUUUGAGGAUUUGUAUUUUCUCUCAGACCCUAUUAUUGGGAAUCGGGAGUGUUUCGCUGAUAUUUGCAUUGCUUGAGUUUAUCAUCUCCAUCUAUCUAUCAACAUUUGCCUGUAAAGCCACCUCCUGCUGUUAUCCACAGGUGCCGUAUUUUGCACAAGGUUUACCUCCAGUGCCCUGUGAUUUUAGGUCUUGUCAUUUCCAUGAUCUUAAGAGACCAGAGAUAUCUGUGAUCAGCAACCCUUCCAUGAAUCACCAACCUGCAGAAAUUCCUCCACAAUACAGUACAAUAUAAAUGAAUAUGAAUGGCAAAAAGGGGUCAGUGUUGUGAUCCUGCAGUUGUCUGUGCUGCUUUUGUGGGACAAAAGGCUUCCUGUCCCUUACUACUAAUGUGUAAAUGAUAACUAUUCAAGACACUAAUAGAUACUAUUUCCUGAUUUUCUUUCUUUAUAUAAGUCAAAGUUGCCUAAUCAUCAGUGAAACUAGAUAGAUUGUUUAGAAUAAGUAAUAGACAAUGCUGUAAGUACUACUGUAAGAAUAAAAUAUACUGAAUCAAAAUGGCUUAUUCU